CCCUUAGAUGUCCUGGGCUGCACGCGCGCUACACUGAUGUGUCCAGUAAGCACCUAACCUCUUCCGAAAGGAACGGGUAACCUUUGCAAAGCACAUCGUGAUGGGGAUAGAUUAUUGCAAUUAUUAGUCUUGAACGAGGAAUUCCUAGUAAGCACAAGUCACCAGCUUGUGUUGAUUACGUCCCUGCCCUUUGUACACACCGCCCGUCGCUCCUACCGAUUGAAUGUUCCGGUGAGCUCUUCGGACUGCGCGGUCUGCAGUUUCUGCGUUCCGUGCGGAAAGUUGCGCAAACCUUAACAUUUAGAGGAAGGAGAAGUCGUAACA
rnacentral:rRNA from 1 species